rnacentral:rRNA from 1 species
GGAUAACACCUGGAAACAGAUGCUAAUACCGGAUAACAACACUAGACGCAUGUCUAGAGUUUGAAAGAUGGUUCUGCUAUCACUCUUGGAUGGACCUGCGGUGCAUUAGCUAGUUGGUAAGGUAACGGCUUACCAAGGCAAUGAUGCAUAGCCGAGUUGAGAGACUGAUCGGCCACAUUGGGACUGAGACACGGCCCAAACUCCUACGGGAGGCAGCAGUAGGGAAUCUUCCACAAUGGACGAAAGUCUGAUGGAGCAACGCCGCGUGAGUGAAGAAGGGUUUCGGCUCGUAAAGCUCUGUUGGUAGUGAAGAAAGAUAGAGGUAGUAACUGGCCUUUAUUUGACGGUAAUUACUUAGAAAGUCACGGCUAACUACGUGCCAGCAGCCGCGGUAAUACGUAGGUGGCAAGCGUUGUCCGGAUUUAUUGGGCGUAAAGCGAGUGCAGGCGGUUCAAUAGGUCUGAUGUGAAAGCCUUCGGCUCAACCGGAGAAUUGCAUCAGAAACUGUUGAACCUGAGUGCAGAAGAGGAGAGUGGAACUCCAUGUGUAGCAGUGGAAUGCGUAGAUAUAUGGAAGAACACCAGUGGCGAAGGCGGCUCUCUGGUCUGCAACUGACGCUGAGGCUCGAAAGCAUGGGUAGCGAACAGGAUUAGAUACCCUGGUAGUCCAUGCCGUAAACGAUGAGUGCUAAGUGUUGGGAGGUUUCCGCCUCUCAGU